rnacentral:lncRNA from 1 species
GAGGCGGGCUCUUCAAUAUGGCAAGGCCUUCGUCUCCUAGCUUCUAGGCUCUGAGUCCAGUACCCGUCUGUACUAUUCCAUCUCUUCCGCUCCAUUAGCUCCUCGGUGACUCCACCAUAGCCCCUGUUAUCCUGUGACCUGCAGGUACUGGGAGAUCCAUAGGGAAGAAGGCGGAACAUCCGGAGGCUGGGAAAUGGCUGCAUGCAGCAGUGUGAUGACAGCUUACUGCAGCCUCAACCUCUCAUGCUCAAGCGACCCUCCCACAUCAGCCUCCUGAGUAGCUGGGACUACAGGGAGAAAAACAAAAUAGAGAGAAACCUGUUGGAGACCAGCCUGGCCAACAUGGCAAAACCCCGACUCUACUAAAAAUACAAAAAUUCACCAGACGAGGUGGUACACGCCUAUGAUCCCAGGGCUGGUGAAUUACCAGAUCUCCUCAAGUGCAGCAACCAGAUCCAGUUGGAAGUGCAUCUUUUGGAGGCAGAAAACAAAGCCAUGGCCACUGGGGCCUUUACUCAGGGCCAGCUGAAGGUACCGGGUACAGGCAGGAGCCUCUGGUGGCCUUACCUGAUGCACGAACACCCCCCGGUCUGUACUCAUUGGAGAUAAUGGUGGUUUGGAACUUGGUUAAGGGAGGUCUUUUGCCCCCAUCUGGGCUUCAGCAGGAGCCCAGGACAGAUGAACGGCCAGGCGUGGUCCUCUGAGCUUUCUGAUAUUUCCCACCCUUGGUGGGAGGCCCAGUUUUUGUGUUUUUUUUUGAGAUGGUCUCACUGUGUCACCCAGGCUGAAGUGCAAUGGCCUGUUCACAGCUCACUGCAGCUUUGAGCUCCCAGGCUGCAGCAAUCCUCCUACCUUGGCCUCCUUAGUAGCUGGGACUACAGGCACAUGCCACCAUGCCUGGCUAAUUAAAAAAACUGUUUUGGUAAGCCAGGCGUGGUGGCUUACACCUGUAAUCCCAGGACUUUGGGAGGCUGAGGUGGGUGGAUCACAUGAGGCCAGGAGUUCGAGACCAGCCCAUCCAACAUGGUGAAACCCUGUCUCUACUAAAAAUAUGAUAAUUUGCUGGGCAUGGUGGUGCAUGCCUGUAAUCCCAGCUACUUGGGAGGCUGAGGCAAGAAUUGCUUGAACUUGGGAGGCAGAGGCUGCAAUGAGUUGAGAUCACGCCACUGCACUCCAGCCUGGGCGACAGAGUGAGACUGUCUCCAAAAAAAAAAAAAAAUUUUUUUUUUAUAGAGAUGGGGUCUCACUCUGUUGCCAGGCUGGUCUUGAACUCCUGGACUCAAGUGAUCCUCCUGCCUUAGCCUCCCAAAGCGUGGGAACUCCAGGCAUGAGCCACCUCAUCUGGUCAAGGGGAAGGCCCAGUUUUGAAGGGCAGGUCCCGGGGUCAGCCAGGGAAGGGCAGAGCCUCUGAUUGCUGCAUCUCUGCUUGCAGGCCCAAGGCGGCUGCUGGGGUGCACGAGGGGCCUUCCUGCCAGAGGGAGGGCCGGAUGGGGCUCAGGCUGUCGGGGUGCUCACACCUGGCGCUUUGGCUAUCUUAGGUGCGGCUGACUGCACAGACGUCACUGGGGCCUUUGUCUGACUUCUACACACUCCCUGUGGGGAUCCGCACUGUGGCUGUCACUGAGAGCCAGUUCUUCAUCAACGGGAAACCUUUUUAUUUCCACAGCAUCAACAAGCACGAGGAUGCGGACCUGCGUUUGUGCUCCUGGGUCCUCGUUGGGGCUGCUUCUGGUCACCUUCCACUUUUGCCUUCCGUAUGUCCCACAGUUGAGGGCAGCUCAGGGCAAUAAGGCAAAUGGCUCCAAACUGCCCCAUGGUGGAGCCGGUGCUUGGGCUGGAGAGGGGGCUCAUGGGGUGGCUCUCCAGGGUCCUGGCUCUCAG